CAGUAACUUGUGCCUAUACAUACAAAAUCUUGUGGUGAGUGUUGUUGAAGUUGCAAAAGAAUAAUGAAUGUAAGGAAACAUAAGAGUGUAAUUAGGGAUUGAUGUUGACAAGGGAAAUCUGAUUGCUAUUAACUAACAGAAUUUUUUAUCUUUUUUUAUCUACAGCUUCGAUUCAUUAGGUAGAAACAUCAGAUACAAGGGUGCUAUAAAACCUACUGGGAUUGCAUGAGAGCCAAUCAGGAAGAAGAAGGCCGUUCUUAAUGGCUUUUGCAACCCAAUCUGCAGUCUGGUUAGCCCUCCUGGUAAUAAGGUUGACAGAGACAGUAGGCAUGCUUGAUAACCGAUGUUUUAUUUCUGCUAUAAUAGGAGGAAUCUCCCCACCAGGAACCGGGAUAUGAUCCUUGAUGGCUGUCACAACUGUAGCUGCAUCCGAUUCCACUGAUAUCACCUGGAGUGUUCAUGAGAACAAAACACAGAAUCACAUGCAAAAACAUGUUUCAGGAAUGUGUGUGCGGGGGCAGAGACUCAAUGGAAAUGGAAGCAUCAGAGAAAGCAACUCUCCCACUAUGAGCUCAUUAGCAUAGCUUCCUUCCGUAGAUUUCAUAAACUGAUCAUUAAUCUGUAGUUACAUAAACUGAUUCUCUAAGGUAUCAGAUGUUACAUGAUUUCAAGAAGAAUGAAACUCAAUUUACACACAGGACUUUUCAUUGAUGCCAUUAUUAACAUAUAAACAUGUCACCACCGUCGCAAAAUGGGGCAAAGCCUCAACAUACUUUGAAGGGGGAUGAGCAGCUGUGGAACCAUUUUACACAAUACACCCAAUGAAGGCCCCUACAACUCAACUACAUAAAGAAUAUUUGUUUUUCUGAAACCUUUCACACAAACAGGACUAAGUCUAGAUUUCAGAUCAUUGAGAAAACAAAGGUUC